rnacentral:rRNA from 1 species
GUAGGGAAUAUUGCGCAAUGGACGAAAGUCUGACGCAGCGACGCCGCGUGAGUGAUGAAGGCCUUAGGGUCGUAAAGCUCUGUUGAAUGGGAAGAAAAAAAUGACGGUACCAUUCGAGGAAGGACCGGCUAACUUCGUGCCAGCAGCCGCGGUAAUACGAGGGGUCCUAGCGUUGUUCGGAAUCAUUGGGCGUAAAGGGUGUGUAGGUGGCCAUGUAAGUCAGGUGUGAAAGCCCCGGGCUCAACCCGGGAAGUGCACUUGAUACUGCGUGGCUUGAAUACCGAAGAGGGUAGUGGAAUUCCAGGUGUAGUGGUGAAAUACGUAGAUAUCUGGAGGAACACCGGUGGCGAAGGCGGCUACCUGGUCGAGUACUGACACUGAGACACGAAAGCAUGGGGAUCAAACAGGAUUAGAAACCCGAGUAGUCC